GAAACGGUAGCUCAAUGGAAGAGCAUUAGUCUUCCUCACUAAGGGUUGCGGGGUUCGAGUCCCGCCCGUUUCU
rnacentral:tRNA from 2 species